CUACAGGAGGAAACCUAAACUAAACUAACUUUAUUUAUACUGGAUAGCUCUAUCAGUUCUAAACUGUUCUUCCUAGAGGUCCAGGAAGGAGCAUCUCUUAUUGAUCCAGUGUUACUGCAGGAGGAAACCUAAACUAAACUAACUUUAUUUACACUGGAUAGCUCUAUCAGUUCUAAACUGUUCUUCCUAGAGGUCCAGUAAGGAUCAUCUCUUAUUGAUCCAGUGUUACUACAG